GGCUCGGUAGCUUAAAUGGUAAAGCACUUGUCUAGCGAAUAAGGGUCGUGAGUUCAAAUCUCACCUGAGCUG
rnacentral:tRNA from 1 species